ensembl:lncRNA
AUUGCUCUUCAUUCUUUUUAUCGCUCCUUUUCAUCUGUGGUAACGGGCAGAGUAAGUAGUUGUGGUCUGAGGACCCUGCUUUCUGACAGUCUUCUUUGGAGCAUAGAAACCUUCCAGUGCAGUAGCCAUCCUCUUUAUGGAUGCGCAAACAUUUGAGGCAUACCCCUGACUUCUUUAACUGAGCUUUCUUGCUUGACAGAUUGAGUUUCCUGAAGGCUUUGCAAGCAAACAAUCUACCUGCAUGCCCUUCGUCCCCACAGGUUAUGCACAAGCUAGGUUGAGAGCCCUUUUGGAUAGAUGUAGCCCUGGUAAAUACCUUCCUUUCUCUACUCUUUUCCUGUGACCUCUCAGUAUAGUCUUUUGAGCUAGGCUGCAGUUGAUCUAACUCUUCAAGAAUGUCCUCCUGUUUUUCAGGUACUCCAUUAGACAAUAAAAAUGAUUUCUGGGUGAAAAACCGCUUACAGAGUCAUUCUUAUGAGUUAACCACUUUUCUUUCAGAGAGUCUGGUAACUUACUCUCAAUCGACUGUACUACUAACCGAUUUUUCACAGCAUCUUCUUCCCCCAGAACUUGGAGGUCACGAAGAGCUCUUUCCACAGCUUGAAUUAAUUCGAUCGUCUUUCUAGGGCUAUUUCCCCUUACAGGCGGUAGGCCAUGUACUUCUUUCGAGAUAAGUAGCACUAUUUUCGGCUUGUUUCCAUAUUUAUUGUCCAGGAGCCGGAACACAUCGGUGGCAGAUCCACAGCUGGACAAGACGAGGUCUCUUUUGACUUUGUCGUCUAAACUUCCUAUAAGAUGGAACUUUCUUAUAUUUUCCAAACCAUGUGGGUUCCCCAGCUGCUGAAGGUCCUCCCAUUCAGCUUUCCAACGGUAGUAAUCUCUCAUGUUACCAGAGAAUGUAGGCAGACGUGCACGUUCCAGCAUGAUGUGGGUUAUGUUGAACUUCACUUAUAGGGAUAUGAUCGUCUACGGGAAAGGACAGUUUACGGUUGGGAGAAGUACUAAUAGACACAGCUUGCUUACCGGUCUGACUUUCCUCGUUGUCAUCGUUCUUCCCAGUAACUUUCUGCUCCUCUUCAUCAUCAGACCAAGUACUGCGCCGCCAUGCCCACUUAUCCCACAGUCUCUCUUGUAGCUUUCUCAUUAUCCUGCAACGGUCUCUAGAUUCCGUUAACACUGCAUGAGGGAUCAUUUCUGUCCACUCAGUCACUAGACUGUUGACUUCACAGACCUCUCGUUCUAAGUUUCUAUUUAUCAGUUCACACUCCUUCCUAGACAGCUGCAGAUGGUCAGUUGCUUCGGCCUGAUCCAGGGCUGAGUUAGCCUCGUUUAAGAGGGUGGAAAUCUGCUCCUCAGCAAAUAUGGUCCAGAAGCUGUUUUGGAUGAGGUGUUUAACUGCAUCGAACUUGCGAUCGCACUCCAAUGUUUUCUCGUCAACCUGAUCUGCCUUUUUUGUGGCCUCUUCAUCUUCUAAUUCUCGUAGGGCCAUAGCAUACUCAAAUCCUGCAUCUUCCACUCUGGAAUGAUCUCCUUUUAACUCUCUCCACUCAGCCUUUAGAUCCCUCUCUUCUAGCGCCUUGGCCCUGGAGGUGAGAUGGUUGGCUCUUUUAGUGAACGCAGUCUGGGCUGCUGAACGCUUCUGCCGUAACCUCUCUGUUUUCUCCUUUUCUGCCAUCUUGUUAAUUUGCUUUCUUCUUAGAUUUGCACUA